UCUAAACGCUGCUCCAACGUCUUAUUUAGUUCUUUCUUUUUCGUUCCCCAAGAACCACGAUGGUCGAGAUUGUCUCCGCGUUGCCGAGGUUCCGAGGCAGUGAAAUGAUCUUCAUCACGAGUUCCUUCUUGGAAAACCAGGAGAAAGAAUGGUGUUAGGGUUUAAUCGACAUGAAGCUGAGGAGCUUUCCCCUCGACUUGGCCUGGGGUGCUUUCUUGAAAUGAUUGGAUUCUCUGUGUGGGAGAAUGAAUGGGUUUAGGAUUUGAUCAAGAAUAGGAGGGAGACACGAACCAGAGGAGUCCUCACAAUCUUCAUUUGGUUCACAUCAGGUGGUUGUUCAAAACACGCCCUUUUCCCCUGGACUCGGCCUGGGAUGCCUUCUUCAAGGGUGAGGAAGAGAGUAGUUUUUCAAUUUAUGUGCACUCAAGGCCUGGAUUUCUUUUCAGUAAGGACAUGACAAGUGUGCUGUUUCAGUCAGAAAGCAUACUAAAGUUAUGGUUGGUGAUGACAUAGUCUUCCCCAAAUUCAGAAGCACUGCAGACAAAAGGGAAUUGAAGAGAAAUUAACUUGGAGAUUUUUGACCCAUUCAUUGUGGGAUAUUUGACCCAUUCGUUGUGGAUCACAUCUAGUGGCGCACGAGCUUUCAGAUGCUACUCUUAUUCCUGCGGAACUAUCAAGGUAUGGACAACUUAUGACUCAUCAAAUAAUUAUAGAGGUUUAAUCAAGGUUUUUAAAAACCCAAGGCGGGUUUCGAGGCGCUUCUCAACCAUGAGGCGAAACGUAAGCCUCGAGGCGUUUUGAGGCGUAAGCCUCAAUUAAAGAAUAUUAUUUAUCUUAAUAAAUAUUUUGUUUUUCGG